rnacentral:rRNA from 1 species
GGCGAACGCUGGCGGCGUGCUUAACACAUGCAAGUCGAACGGAAAGGCCUGCUUUCCCUUGUGGAUUGCGGGUACUCGAGUGGCGAACGGGUGAGUAACACGUGAGUGAUCUGCCCCCAACUUGGGUAUAAGCCUGGGAAACUGGGUCUAAUUCCCGAUAGGACUGCAGGGUGGUGCCUGUGGUGGAAAACGAUUUUCUAGUGGUUGGGGAUGAGCUCGCGGCCUAUCAGCUUGUUGGUGGGGUAAUGGCCUACCAAGGCGGCGACGGGUAGCCGGCCUGAGAGGGUGGACGGCCACAUUGGGACUGAGAUACGGCCCAGACUCCUACGGGAGGCAGCAGUGGGGAAUAUAGCACAAUGGGCGGAAGCCUGAUGCAGCGACGCCGCGUGGGGGAUGACGGCCUUCGGGUUGUAAACUCCUUUCGACCGCGAGGAAGCCACCUGGUUGGAAGGGUGGUGACGGUAGUGGUAGAAGAAGCACCGGCUAACUACGU